rnacentral:rRNA from 1 species
UACGGAGGGUGCAAGCGUUGUCCGGAUUAUUGGGUUUAAAGGGUGCGUAGGCGGCGCGGUAAGUCGGGUGUGAAAUCUCGGAGCUUAACUCCGAAACUGCAUUCGAUACUGCCGUGCUUGAGGACUGGAGAGGAGACUGGAAUUACGGUGUAGCGGUGAAUGCGUAGAUAUCGUAAGGAAGACCAGUGGCGAAGGCGGGUCUCUGGACAGUUCCUGACGCUGAGGCACGAAGGCCAGGGAGCAAACGGG